UGGGCGUAAAGGGCGCGGAGGCGGUCUGCGGCGUCGGCGCUGAAAGCGCCCCGCUUAACGGGGCGAGGCGUGCCGAUACGCGCAGACUUGAGGCGAGCAGAGGGUGGUGGAAUUCCGGGUGGAGCGGUGAAAUGCGUAGAGAUCCGGAGGAACGCCAGUGGGGAAGCCGGCCACCUGGGCUCGGCCUGACGCUGCGGCGCGACAGCGUGGGGAGCAAACCGGAUUAGAUACCCGGGUAGUCCACGCCGUAAACGAUGCCAGCUCGGCGAGUGGCGCACGGUUGUGCGCUGCGUGCCUUAGCUCACGCGAUAAGCUGGCCGCCUGGGGACUACGAGCGCAAGCUCAAAACUCAAAGGAAUUGACGGGGGCCCGCACAAGCAGCGGAGCGUGUGGUUUAAUUCGACGCAACACGAAGAACCUUACCUGGGCUCGACAUGACGCUGCACGCCGUCGAAAGACGGCCGCCUGCGAGGGUGCGUCACCGGUGCUGCAUGGCUGUCGUCAGCUCGUGUCGUGAGAUGUUGGGUUCAGUCCCGCAACGAGCGCAACCCGCGUCGGUAGUUACUCGUGUCUACCGAGACUGCCGCCGUGACCGGCGGAGGAAGGCGCGGAUGACGUCAAGUCAGCAUGACCCUUACGUCCAGGGCGACACACACGCUACAAUGGCCACGACAAUGCGUUGCCAAGCCGCAAGGCGGAGCUAAUCGCUUAAACGUGGUCUCAGUGCAGAUCGGGGGCUGCAACUCGCCCCCGUGAAGGCGGAGUUGCUAGUA
rnacentral:rRNA from 1 species